GAUGAACGCUAGCGGCAGGCCUAAUACAUGCAAGUCGAACGAUAGUGAGAAGCUUGCUUCUCACGAAAGUGGCGCACGGGUGCGUAACGCGUAUGCAACCUACCUUAAUCAGGGGGAUAGCCCGAAAAAAUUCGGAUUAACACCGCAUAAAAUCACAGUAUAGCAUUAUACAAUGAUCAAAUAUGUAUAGGAUUAAGAUGGGCAUGCGUGACAUUAGUUAGUUGGCGGGGUAACGGCCCACCAAGACCACGAUGUCUAGGGGACCUGAGAGGAUGACCCCCCAAACGGGUACUGAGACACGGACCAGACUCCUACGGGAGGCAGCAGUAAGGAAUAUUGGUCAAUGGAGGCAACUCUGAACCAGCCAUGCCGCGUGCAGGAAGACAGCCCUCUGGGUCGUAAACUGCUUUUAUUCGGGAAUAAACCUAUCUACGUGUAGAUAGCUGAAUGUACCGAAGGAAUAAGGAUCGGCUAACUCCGUGCCAGCCGCCGCCGUAA
rnacentral:rRNA from 1 species